GUGCACAUGGUGGAUGCCUUGGCAGUCAGAGGCGAUGAAAGACGUGGUAGCCUGCGAAAAGCUUCGGGGAGUCGGCAAACAGACUUUGAUCCGGAGAUGUCUGAAUGGGGGAACCCAGCCAUCAUAAGAUGGUUAUCACACACUGAAUACAUAGGUGUGUGAGGCGAACCAGGGGAACUGAAACAUCUAAGUACCCUGAGGAAAAGAAAUCAACCGAGAUUCCCUUAGUAGUGGCGAGCGAACGGGGACUAGCCCUUAAGCUUCUUUGAUUUUAGCGGAACGCUCUGGAAAGUGCGGCCAUAGUGGGUGAUAGCCCUGUACGCGAAAGGAUCUUAGAAGUGAAAUCGAGUAGGACGGAGCACGAGAAACUUUGUCUGAAUAUGGGGGGACCAUCCUCCAAGGCUAAAUACUACUGACUGACCGAUAGUGAACUAGUACCGUGAGGGAAAGGCGAAAAGAACCCCGGAGAGGGGAGUGAAAUAGAACCUGAAACCGUGUACGUACAAGCAGUAGGAGCCCC
rnacentral:rRNA from 13 species